CCUUAUGAGUACCAAAAUUAAACACGAGUUAUUAUUUGAUAAGAUUUGUGUGGAGGAGAAUAUAGUAAGAAAAUGACAAAAAAAAAAUGUUUGUACAAAGUCGGUCAGCUGAAUGAAAGGAGUUGUACUAGAGUUUUUGGACGGGGCAACUUUAUGGGACACACAUUAACCCUUGGUAACUUCUCUCCAGAUUACAAAGGCUUACACAACUGGAGAGUACGUAGUGGAGGCGUGAACGGGGAAGUCGUCACAAUUGCCUGCUGCAGUGGUGAAUGAUGGCCCCAAAACCAGUGUCAAGCAGUCCAAGGGUUAGGUAAUCAGGGUUGUCACAUUCAGAUGCAAAGAUUAAAGCUUUUUUGCACCUCUAAGGACACAAGUACUUAGAAAAGGAUUUUUUUACAAAUGUAGUUACUGUAUUGAGUCAUUUGCAAUACAUGCACUUGAUAUUUUCGGAUCUGAUAUUUCCCUAAACGAUGAACCCUGUUCAAGCAAAACAAGUUUUGGAAAAUUACAAUUAAGUAACAAAAGAAACCCAUCAUGAAUGAGUAAAAUCUUACUUACUUCUACAAAUUGCCUGUGGGGCUUCAAAUUCUGAAAUUGAUAAGCUUCUCCUGAUCUCUUAACCUCUUUGCCAUCUUGCUAGACAUACGCAAAAAUAGAAAAUUUAUCAAAAAGCAGCUAAAUCACAACCAGAUUUUAAAAAAAAAAACAGGAUAAAAAUAUCGAAUUGAAGGAAAAAUAACUUAAAACUAUUUUUAGGUAUGAGAAAAACGUCGAAUUCAUCACAGUAGGGAAUGAGAAUGGAAAGACAAAGAGGAUACAUAUGAAGUGGUGGGCUACGUGUGUGUUAGUCAUGGGUAUAACCAAAUGGCUGAAAAGCCAAAUAUACCCUUAACUUCUAAUUUAUUGACGUUAAGCAGGCAUGUUGAAACUGUCUCUUCUAAUAUAUCUAAAAAUAAAA
rnacentral:lncRNA from 1 species